rnacentral:sRNA from 2 species
GUUUGCACUUGUCGGGGAAGGGUGAGAACCUUCGAUUAAGGUUCGACUCGAGCGAAAGCGAGAGAACGUUGCCGACGGCAACGGCCCGUAGGGUGAGGAGCGAAGCGACGAAUAAUCCUUCCCCCACCAUCA